GAGUUUGAUCAUGGCUCAGAUUGAACGCUGGCGGCAUGCCUUACACAUGCAAGUCGAACGGCAGCAUGAUCUAGCUUGCUAGAUUGAUGGCGAGUGGCGAACGGGUGAGUAAUACAUCGGAACGUGCCCUGUAGUGGGGGAUAACUAGUCGAAAGAUUAGCUAAUACCGCAUACGACCUGAGGGUGAAAGUGGGGGACCGCAAGGCCUCAUGCUAUAGGAGCGGCCGAUGUCUGAUUAGCUAGUUGGUGAGGUAAAGGCUCACCAAGGCGACGAUCAGUAGCUGGUCUGAGAGGACGAUCAGCCACACUGGGACUGAGACACGGCCCAGACUCCUACGGGAGGCAGCAGUGGGGAAUUUUGGACAAUGGGGGCAACCCUGAUCCAGCAAUGCCGCGUGUGUGAAGAAGGCCUUCGGGUUGUAAAGCACUUUUGUCCGGAAAGAAAUCGCACUUACUAAUAUUAGGUGUGGAUGACGGUACCGGAAGAAUAAGGACCGGCUAACUACGUGCCAGCAGCCGCGGUAAUACGUAGGGUCCAAGCGUUAAUCGGAAUUACUGGGCGUAAAGCGUGCGCAGGCGGUUGUGCAAGACCGAUGUGAAAUCCCCGGGCUUAACCUGGGAAUUGCAUUGGUGACUGCACGGCUAGAGUGUGUCAGAGGGGGGUAGAAUUCCACGUGUAGCAGUGAAAUGCGUAGAGAUGUGGAGGAAUACCGAUGGCGAANGCAGCCCCCUGGGAUAACACUGACGCUCAUGCACGAAAGCGUGGGGAGCAAACAAGAUUAGAUACCCUGGUAGUCCACGCCCUAAACGAUGUCAACUAGUUGUUGGGGAUUCAUUUCCUUAGUAACGUAGCUAACGCGUGAAAGUUGACCGCCUGGGGAGUACGGUCGCAAGAUUAAAACUCAAAGGAAUUGACGGGGACCCGCACAAGCGGUGGAUGAUGUGGAUUAAUUCGAUGCAACGCGAAAAACCUUACCUACCCUUGGCAUGCCACUAACGAAGCAGAGAUGCAUUAGGUGCUCGAAAGAGAAAGUGGACACAGGUGCUGCAUGGCUGUCGUCAGCUCGUGUCGUGAGAUGUUGGGUUAAGUCCCGCAACGAGCGCAACCCUUGUCUCUAGUUGCUACGAAAGGGCACUCUAGAGAGACUGCCGGUGACAAACCGGAGGAAGGUGGGGAUGACGUCAAGUCCUCAUGGCCCUUAUGGGUAGGGCUUCACACGUCAUACAAUGGUGCAUACAGAGGGUUGCCAAGCCGCGAGGUGGAGCUAAUCCCAGAAAAUGCAUCGUAGUCCGGAUCGUAGUCUGCAACUCGACUACGUGAAGCUGGAAUCGCUAGUAAUCGCGGAUCAGCAUGCCGCGGUGAAUACGUUCCCGGGUCUUGUACACACCGCCCGUCACACCAUGGGAGUGGGUUUUGCCAGAAGUAGUUAGCCUAACCGCAAG
rnacentral:rRNA from 1 species